rnacentral:tRNA from 1 species
GGGCCGUUAGCUCAGUCCGGCAGAGCAGGUGACUUUUAAUCACUUGGUCGCAGGUUCGAAUCCUGCACGGCCCACCU